GGACAAUUCCCAUUCAAAAUAGAAUUAAUCUAAGACUAGGCUCAAUCACUGUCUGUGAAACUGGCCCUACAUGUUGGAUUCAUAACCGAAUAAAAGUUGUUGUAGGCUGUAGGCUAAUCUGAAUCAUUCUUUGACUUUAUGUUUAAAGACUGAGGUCACCGUGUCCAACCUGGUUCAAGACAAGGAUUUUCAUCUGUUCGUAAAACGGAAUUUUGAUGAUCCUGAAUCAUCAUGUUUUAUAUAUAACUGUAGCAAGGAUACUACUAAUAGUAUUAACAUUGAACAUCAUUUAAAUAUUCAGAAGGAUUUUGAACAUAGGCGGCACGGAUGGUGCAGUGGGUAGCACUGCCGCCUCACAGCAAGGAGGUCCUGGGUUCGAAUCCCCGUCGGCCGGGGCCUCUCUGUGCGGAGUUUGCAUGUUCUCCCCGUGUCUGCAUGGGUUUCCUCCGGGUACUCCGGUUUCCUCCCACAGUCCAAAGACAUGCAGGUUAGGCCGAUUGGAGAGUCUAAAUUGCCCGUAGGCAUGAGUGUGUGAGUGAAUGGUGCGUGUGCCCUGCGAUGGACUGGCGACCUGUCCAGGGUGUAUUCCUGCCUUUCGCCCAAUGUAUGCUGGGAUAGGCUCCAGCCCCCUGCGACCCUGAUCAGGAUAAGUGGGUUCAGAUAAUGGAUGGAUGGAUGGAUUUUGAACAUUUUGGGUAUAUUGUAACACAAAAAGAGGAAUCACUAUGUACAUCACAAUGUUUUUUUGCAUAUUCAACUAAAAAGUAUAUUUUGACAACGUACCACUCAAUUGGUAGUGACAGCAAUAUAUAUGCCUUCUUUCAAUCUAAACAUGAUAUCUUAAUUUACAAAAUUCGUCAACCACCCAUUUUCUCUUGCGGUGAAAUUGAUUAUGCAUUACUUGAGUUACCAAAAGAUAGUUUUAUCCCUUGGAAUAUGGGACUGUUAGAUCAAAUUGAUGGGAAACCGGAAAAGGACAAGUUAGUCCAUUUCAAUGCAUAUAGGACAUUAAAAACAGCUCAUUCAAUUGAGGCAAAUGUUAUUGAAACCCCCAUAAGAAUGAAAAAUUACAUAAAUAAAUCAUACAUUUUUAAUUAACAAAUAUGGAAUUGAAGGUGAUAGUGGUGCCCCAGUUUUCGAUAAAGACAAAGUUGUGGGAAUGUACCGUGGAUUUAUUCAUCAUUUUGGACGGUGCAUUAACAUUAUUGACAUUGACCAAGAUAUUAAAAGAAAACAAAAAAAGCAAAGCAAACCGAGCCUCCUGAUCAGUUUAGUAACACAAAUUUCAUCAUGGUUAUUUAUCUAAAAAAAUGAAAAAGAACUUGAAAGUAAAGCAUUUCGAACUCUUUAGGACUGCAUCAAUUUUCUAAGAAAUAUGAUAAUAAUGUUAAAAAUAAAUAAAGAACUGGUGACUUGCCCAUGUAAAUAAGAGUGUGUAAAAAGUGAAAAUAAUGUGAGAGAAUGGUGUGUGGGUGAUUGAUUGGAGAUGUGACCAUGCCAACAACCACUUAUACCGCUUGUACAAAAUUUCACAUCAAAUUAAUAAGAGCAGAAGUUGGCAAAGAAAAAACUUGCAAAAGACCAGCCGUUGUACACCCUGGCACAGUCAUUUCUGCCUCUGGAAUUUCUCCAGAAGGACAACUUGCCCCCAUGUUUGCCUGCAUGAGAGAGAGAGAGGGUACUUUCAGCACAGCCUGGAUCUACUUCCAUGGAGCCAAUGCGUUUGCCUGUGAGGACUGAACUUGUGGCAGUGACAUCACUUUUGUGAGAAGCAAUAAGGAGAAACUGCAAAAAAAAGUGUGGAAUAUCCUGAAAAAGACCAAGCGCAUGACCUCACAGACCAAGCGGAUGACCUCACAGACCAAGCACAUGACCUCACAGACCAAGUGCAUGACCUCACAGACCAGGAUGACAACAUCGGGACCAGGCUGAGAACACGGAAGCAGGCUUAAAUGGGGAUAUGUUGUCCUUCUGCACCCCCCAAUAAAAACAAUAAAAGAUGAACUGAUA